rfam:TPA: Bos taurus chromosome 27, whole genome shotgun sequence.
UCCCCAGUAGCUCAGCUGGUAAAGAAUCUGUCUGAAAUGCAGGAGACCCUGGUUCAAUUUCUGGGUUGGGAAG